GAAAAUAUAAAACUUAUAUGUAACUUACUUGAACACUUAUUGCUUGCUUGAAAUGUCACCAACAUUUUAAUGCGAGAACAAACAAUUAUGAUGAAUGGCCCCAAUUAUUCAGUUAGUCAUAGUUUCAAGUGGUUACUAAUGUUAUUCAUAAUGCUUAGAGAUGUCACUAACCUUUGGACGCGAGUACAAAUAAUUCUGAUGAAUGAUCCCGGUUACUCAGUUAGAGCUUAUUUGG
rnacentral:lncRNA from 1 species